rnacentral:rRNA from 1 species
AUGAGCUUGUUGGUUGUGAACCCCUUUUCUUCCAGCCUUCCUGUUUUGGUUUUUGAUGUUGUACCAGAUAGCAGGCGCCUUUUAGUAUCUGGUUAUGGCGCCACGAGGUCUCUUUGCACCAAUGCCUUCUUCGCUUAUACUCUCUGUGGAUUCGUCAUCGCUGGAGUAAUAACCAGCAGGAUCGUUGCGUGCGGGAAUGAUGAAUAUGUCGGAGUGAUCAGGAGACCUGAAGCUGACUCUCCUGGCUACGCUGCGUUGGCUCCUCAGAGUAACCCUGUCGAUGGAGAAGCUAUCCUGGAUACUGGGGGAGUUGUCCCCAUAAGGGCAAUCCAGGUUAAGCGGACGAACCUUCGGGGAAUGCCUCCGAGGUGA